UAACCAUGCCCUUCCGAUGGCCUCCUCUCGCGAUUGCCGCCUUGGUUCGGCAAAACCCUAACAAAAUCCUCUCCGUCUCUUUCUCUCCUUCCUCAGAAAACGAAAGAAACGAAGCAGAGCACGAUUCCGUAGCUCGGGAAAGAUUUCAAAGAAUAAAGCAUACGGAGAGCGUCUCUUCCGAGGAAGGGUUUUCCAUUCGCUCCAUUUCUCGUGGCCAAAUUCACCUGGUGCUUCGAGGAAGUAUGCUGGGAAAUAACUUUACAUCUUGAUUGAUUGGAAUUGGUGAUAUGGGGCAUAUGGUAUUCACACAACACACCAUGGGUGAUGUUCAUUGCUUUCAUGGAUCAUUCGCAUAUUAUUCAAACCGUUGUUGCAGUUCCAAAUCAUGCCCAUGGAUGAGACCAUCUGCGAUUCACCUAGAUCACGUAGACAAGCUUGAGCAUAAGUGCGACCCCUGUUUGCAUCAUGACAGUGCCAAUUCUUCCCAGGCAGCACAUUAUAGGUCAGAUCCAAGAGGUAGUUCUUUAGAUGUGGUUAAUGGGAGUAGCAAGGUCAUUUAUAAUGCCGAAAAGGCAAUGAUAUCCACGCCUGCUAGACCUGUGCGGCUAUCGAGUUCUAAUGCAAAUGCCCUAACUCUUGAUGGGUACUAUGUGGAACAUGAUGAGGUGUCUAACAAUGAUGUUCUUCGUAAUUUCUGUGCAAACGGGAAGCUCAUUGAAUCCUGCAACCUGAUUAAUGUCAUGGCACGAUUGGGUCAGGUCCCCGACUUCCCUUCUUGCAUUAAUCUUGUGCGGGGAUUAGUCAAUGCUGAUAAAGUGGAAAAGGCCACUCGUGUUCUUGAGGUGAUGGUUAUGUCUGGGGGGAUCCCCGAUGUCAUCACCUACAAUAAAUUGGUUGGAGGUCUCUGUAAAAGAGGACAACUAAAUUCUGCAAUUAGAAUUGUACAAGAUAUGAGUUUCAGUGGUUGCCUUCCUGAUGUGAUCACAUUUAACACUUUAUUCCGGUCCAUGUUUGACCAGGGUAAGUAUGAUGAGGCAGUUUGGUUUUGGAAAGAUCAGUUAAAUAAAGGCUAUCCUCCUUAUCUAAUCUCUUACACAAUACUUCUUGAACUCAUAUGCAAGCACUGUGGUAUUCGAUGGGCUAUGGAGGUUAUGGACGAUCUAGCUUUGGAGGGAUGCCAUCCUGAUCUUGUGACUUAUAACUCUCUCAUCAAUUUGAUAUGUAAGGGAGGGAAGUAUGAGGACGCAACAACAGUUAUUGUUGAUCUUCUGGCACAUGGCUUGGAACCAAAUGCAGUUACAUAUAAUACCUUACUUCACUGUCUCUGCAGCAAGGGAAAGUGGGCUGAGGCUGAUGAUGUACUUGCAAUCAUGAACCAGGCUUCUUAUCCUCCUACUGUAGUCACCUACAAUAUCUUGAUCAACAGUUUGUGUAAAUACCAGCUUUUGGAUCGGGCAAUUGAUGUCUUGCAUAGAAUGGUAAGCGAAGAAUGUUCUCCUGAUAUAAUCACCUACAACACUCUUCUGGCAGCUAUGUGUAAGAAGGACAUGACAGAGCAGGCUAUGGAUAUACUUCACUAUAUGAGGGACAGUGGAUUCUCUUUGGUUGUCAUAACAUAUAAUACUGUAAUAGAUAGAUUAGCGAAGAAGGGUGAUAUUAAGAAGGCAAUGAUUCUGUUUGAUGAGAUGGUAAAUGAUGGCAUUACUCCUGAUGACAUCACUUAUGGUUCAUUGGUUAUGGGUUUUUGCAAGAAAGAUAUGGUGGAGGAGGCACUGGAGAUGUUGCAGGCGAUGGUUAAUAUUGACUGCAGGAUAAGAGGCAGUACAUUUACCCUUGUGAUACAUGCAUUAUGUAGAAACGGCAAGGUGGAUUCUGCUAUUGAAGUUUUAAAUAUGAUGAUAUCAAGAUGUAGCAAGCCCAACAAAGCAAUCUAUUUAUCACUGGUAAAAGGAUUGGCUGCCUCUGGCAUGACAGAAGAGGCUUCCGAACUGCAUAAGAAGUUGAUCAAGUACAGGAUUCUUAAGGAAGACUCUUGAGUCGGUAGAAGUGGGACCGUGGAGAUGCAAAUCUCCACCAAUUUCUGCUGUGGGGCUACUGCCCUUUUGAUUCAGACUUCUGCAAUGAGUUGCUAUGUAUCUUCUGUUCCAAAAGCUCAGGUAGCAAGAAGUUCUGGCUGAUCAAACCUUGGAGAAAAAGUCCUCUAUUGAGCUCAUCUUGACACUCUUCGCCUGCAAUAACUGUCUCAUUCUAUUUUGCUUGCCUGAAAAUGGAUUUGGAUUCAGAUACAUUCGGUUGCAGUACACCAGUCUCUUUGGUAUCCCUGGGUUUUAUUGCUAUGUUUAAGUUCUCCUCACUCCAAGCUGCAACAGUGCAUCCAGACAGCUGAAUUUGUGACGGUGCACCGUGGGGGCUGCAUCAUCAUAAGCAACCACGAGCGGGGAUCAGUAACGUCUUGAGACCUGAACUUGCGAAUAUAUCAUCCAGAUUGAAGAAUAUAUAUUUUUCUCGAAUGCAGAUAUUAGAUGAACUCUGUAAACCAAGGGUUACAUCGACUUUUAGAGAUUUGGUUGUUUACUUUUCAAUUUUAAGAAACCAAACAUGGCAAUCAACUUCCUGUCGAGGAAACUUGAUCGGUCUUCAAAACUGAUAUGCAUGUUUUAUGAAAAAUUGGUGGUUUCCCUUUUUUUCUCU